UACGUAGGGUGCGAGCGUUGUCCGGAAUUAUUGGGCGUAAAGAGCUCGUAGGCGGUCUGUCGCGUCUGCUGUGAAAACCCGAGGCUCAACCUCGGGCCUGCAGUGGGUACGGGCAGACUAGAGUGCGGUAGGGGAGAAUGGAAUUCCUGGUGUAGCGGUGGAAUGCGCAGAUAUCAGGAGGAACACCGGUGGCGAAGGCGGGUCUCUGGGCCGAUACUGACGCUGAGGAGCGAAAGCGUGGGGAGCGAACAGG
rnacentral:rRNA from 1 species